rnacentral:lncRNA from 1 species
ACUACAACAAAUUCGAUUAUCAAUGACAAAUUAUUUUGUCACCUAAAAUUCAUAUUUCGUCACAAAAAACUUUUUUUGACGAAAAUAUUUUUGUCAAUCAUUCGUCCUUAAAUGCACGUCACUAAAGGUAUACAAAGACAACUUAGUGAUUCGUCACUAAAUAAAAUUAUAUUAACUACGAAAUUGAUUUUUGUCCCCAAAUGUAUAGUAUUUGUGACAAACUUAUUUGUCAAAAAAAGUAUUAAAAAGUGUAGUUGAUAGUAUGUUUUCGUCACUAAAGAAGUCAUCAAUACCGACGAAACUACCUUGUCACUAACUAUUUAGUUUAAUUAGUGACAACAUUAAUUGUCUCUAAAGUUAUAUGUAUUUCGUAGUAGAACAAAUUUAACUCCGUCACUAAAAACUACCUAUUAUAUACAAAAAGAUAUUUCGACCCUAAAUAUAAAAAUUAGUGACAAAUUUGCUUUAAUAAAAUUGGCUUACAUUUUGUAGCUAAAACUAUCAUCUCAUCGCUAAAAACAUUGCUAUUACUGACAAAAUAAAAUUGUCACUAUAAAUUAUCAUGAUAAAUGACAAAUAAAAUUAUCAUAAAAUACAAAGUUACUUUGUAGUCAAUAAAGCAGUUCUGAGAAAUAGAAAUAUAUAAGAACCUUUCAUUGCUAAAAAGCCAAACAAUAUAAAGUAUUCUAAUAUACAUUAUAAUACAUUUUCUAUGUAUAUAUACAUGACCCAAAAAAUAACAUAAAAGAUCUCCAAACUGUUCCUUUGCCUUCAAACUCCUCCUAGUAUGUGGUUGACUUCAUUUCCUGUUGUUGGAGAACUGUAUCCUUCAUAUAUUAAAAAAAAUAGCAAAGGAUCAAAAGAGAGAAAGAAAUUAGAAAAUUCUCAUAAUAAUCCAAUUAUAAUUUAUCAAAACAAUCAAAUGCAUAAGUAAAAGAUAGCACAUACAAUGGCAACCAGAUGUUGGUAAGAAAUUCAACAAGACCUUAAGAGUUGACAAAUAUAAUUUCCUGUAACCAUCAAAGAUUAGCAUUAGUAUGAGAUAAUUCUAACAAGGCUACUUAAUGAGUUUAAUUAAUGCUUAUAUAGUGGUGUUACUAAUCUAAGCUUGCUGACAACAAGAACAUCUAAUUAUUUUAAAGAUAAGAUGUUGCUCUUACAUAGUUGAAAUUGAGAUAUGCCAAAAUUUCACAAUGGUGAUAAUGCUUAAACAUCAACAAAGAGAGGAUUGGCG